GAUAAAUGAUGAUUGCCUUGGUCCGUGUUUCUGAACACCAUUGAUAACAAUUUAGGCAAAAUCUGAUAAU
rfam:Crassostrea gigas strain 05x7-T-G4-1.051#20 contig27922, whole genome shotgun sequence.